rnacentral:rRNA from 1 species
UACGUAGGGUGCAAGCGUUAUCCGGAAUUAUUGGGCGUAAAGAGCUCGUAGGCGGUUUGUCGCGUCUGCCGUGAAAGUCCGGGGCUCAACUCCGGGAUCUGCGGUGGGUACGGGCAGACUAGAGUGCAGUAGGGGAGACUGGAAUUCCUGGUGUAGCGGUGAAAUGCGUAGAUAUCUGGAAGAACACCAAAGGCGAAGGCAGUGUCCUGGGGUGGUCGCUGACGCUGAGAGGCGAAAGCCAGGGGAGCGAACGGG